UCCUGUGUCACAGUGAAAAUCCAUGCUGGGGCUACCGGAUUUCCACCUCGGGAACCUGCUGCUGAAGUAGAGGCUGCCCCUCUCCCUCUACCUCUGCCACUACUCUGAGGCAUGACUAGAGCUGCUGGCUGCACCACACUGCCUGAACUCAUCUGCUGGGAUGGUGCAAAAGUCACCUGAGGACAAUCCCGAGCAAUAUGCCCUUCCUGUCCACAUCUAAAAC
rnacentral:lncRNA from 1 species